AACUAGUCAAGAGCUGAUGCCGCUCUCCUGAUGAGGCCAUGGUAGGCCAAAAUCAAUU
rnacentral:hammerhead_ribozyme from 15 species